GAUCCCCAUGCCGACCUCGCUCCCCCCUCGAGGCCUCGACUCCUCCUUGACCCUUCGGGGGCUUUGAUUGGACUGGAAGCCUUCCUCCCUCCCCUUGCUUUGAGGGCUGUGCUACUGCUGCCGGUUGCUGUUCCUUCCCUCUUCGUUUCCUCGCCUCGGUUUCUUCCGCCGUGUCGGCACGCACGUCUCGUGCGCUUCCACCGCGGUGUACCGUACCGGCCAAAGGUAGCACCAGCC
rnacentral:lncRNA from 1 species